GACCCCAGGUCAGGCGGGGCUACCGCUGAGUUUAAGCAUAUC
rnacentral:rRNA from 1 species